rfam:Ruminococcus sp. CAG:60 genomic scaffold, scf138
UAAGAAAAUCGGCAAAACAGAUGAAAGUCUGCGAUGCAAAGCUAUAGGGCCUGUAAAAUGGCAGCCAGUUGCCACG